CCUCCCAGACCUUCCCACCUCCUGGACAGCAGCUUCACAAUGAAUGUAAAAUGGAUGCUGUCCAGGAGGUGGGAGGAUCUGGGAGG